AAAGGAAUACAAAGACUAUUGGAUUUCAUCAUGCCAGGUCUUCUGAAAAGUAGUGAAAGAGAACCAUUUGAAGUUCAUGUUUAUGGACACAGAAUAAUGAAAUAUUUUACAGACAACAAUAAGAACAUCAUAUCUUUUGCCGAGUUUUGCGAAGGAAAAGAGCAUUGGGAAGUCUGUCGAUACUUUUUUGCCUGUUUGCAUCUGGCUACAAGUGAUAAAGUUGGAAUAUCAACUAUAAAGAAACCUGAUGGAACUGAUGUUCUGUUGCUGACAUUGCUCUCAAAAGAUUAAAUUAAUUUAUUAUAUAUGGACUUCUUUAAUUUACAAACAAUUUGUUUGUACAUAUUGGCAUUUCAUUUUUGGUGUAAAUUUUUCAAUGGUAAGAAUGUGUUGAAUUUUUUAACAGUGAAAUAUAUAUUGAAAUGCCCUUUCUUUUAUACCUUUUACAUCUUACAGUUACUCACUAUUAUGUAUUCAGCAAACUGAAACAGUUGUGCAAUUAUAUGUGUAGUUUGAUAUAUCUAUGCAAUAACGAACUGUAAACGUAUGGGAAAUCAUUUCAUAUUGCUAGUGAUUGUAUCCUACUGGAGUUUGAACUUUUAAUUUUAAAUUUUGAAAUUUGAGUAUAUAUAAGUAUUAAAAACAAAACUUUAAAUGUUUAUUGUUUUUAUUGUUUUUUUUUUUUUUUUAAUGUUUCUUACAAAAAGUAUAGAAUUCUAACACUGAAGUAAAUUGUUUUAAAAUCUGUCCGAUCCUAUUGAAAACUUGAAAAUGUUCAAAAAUUGUACGUACUUUAGAAUUGAUAACUUUAGUAUCAUGCAGUUUUAUGAAUCAUUAAGCAUAUACUAUUUGAAAAUAAUGUAUAUUUUAUGUCUGGAAUUUAAUAUAGGUAAUUAAAUAUGUAUUGAUACUGUAAUUUGCUAUGUAUAAUUUUAAUGAUAAAAUUUGUUGAAAUUUUUAUCUAAAUUUAUAAAAGAUGUCUUGCACAAGUAGUAGUUAUGUUGCUUUACAUCAACUAUGUUUUAGCCAAUUUUUAAAACUGCUACUGAUAUUUUUGUUGGGUUGAACUCAGGAAUAUAUAUUAAUCUUAAUGUAGUUAAUGUUUUUAACAAAUUUCUUUAAUGCUUUGUAGUUUUAAAAGGAAUAAUACACUUUUGAUGUAUUUCAUGCUAUGUUAUAUUUGGUGCUAUCAAUAUUUGUAUGUAAGGGUGAAAUUUUAUCGCCUUUUUAGGUAAUGCAAUAUUUUCCAUUGUUUUAUAUUGAAGUAGCUCAUUUUCAUACUUUAAAUGAGCUUUUGAUAAUAGAAAUGUUAUGCCAUGUUUGUUGAAUUCAUGUCCUAGUAUUCUGCACUGCCACUUCAACAGUCAUGUUACAUUUUUGUAGUUAACGGUGAAUGGUAAAAAUUGUUUUGGUUUUGCUCAUUUCAUUAAUAUAUGUUGAAAUUAUGUUUUGGGGUUAUGGAACUAACCAUACAUAUUGAACUAACUAUGUGAAACAUUCUGGAAAUUGAAGUUGUGCAAUUUUUACAGUGAAACCUGAAUAAACCAAAAUGCCAUGGGACAGAUGAAAUUCACAUAUUAGACAGUUUUCCACCAAACAGAGUUAUUUACUCUUUCAAAAAAAGUGGAAGAAAAGGGAAUUGUUCUUACCUUUUGAAAGUAUGGAUAAUUCUCGGUAUUAAAAUAAAACUUGUAUUUAAAAAAUUCAAAAAAAAAAAAAAAAAAAAAAAAAUUGUAAAACAUAUUUUUUUUAAAAAUAAUCAAAUGUACUCUUUGUAGUACAUGUAGUAAUGCAAUUUUAUAGUUCUUCAAGCUUCCAUUACAGAACCUACAAGUUCUGGGGGGUACAUUUACUAUAUGAAAACUCAUGCAUGUGUCUUAUGCAUUGCUCCAGACAAUUGAUCUUUAGUCUUCAUCACUACUGUUAUUACCAGUAACUUCGUGACUUGAAAUGUGUUUUUCAACCUUACCAAUUGAUGUUGGUGGUUAAUUUGUAUAAUGUCAUGAAAUCUUGAUUUUCAACUAACAUGUAAAGCAAUAAAUUUCAGAAUCACAUGAAUUUUCAUUGAUAUUUUUCCAUUGAAGAUUUACUUUCAGAAAACAAGUGGGAGAUUCACUAGUGGUAGAUUUAAGCUGCUCUAUUUCAUGCCAGGUAUCAUACGCUGAAAAAUAUUAAUGGGCUGACAGGAUAUUAAUCAUAGGAGCCAUUCUUUCCAGUGAAGGCAGAUUUCCAUUUAUAGCAAGUCUGUCUUGGGCAGGUUUCACUGUACUCUGAUUUUAAACAUGAAUAUUUUGCACUGCAUACUACUUUUGGACUUUUGAAAAGAUAAUUUUGUUUUCAAAAUAUGGACCCAAGUGUUACAAGUUGAAUUUUUUAUUAACUUUGUUCAUUGGCACAUAAAAUAUAUUCAUCAUCCCUCUUAAUGAAAAAACUAUACCUGCCAAUCUACUGUUGUUGGCCAUACAGGUAUAGGUUUCAGAUGAGUUGAACAAUUCUAAAAUUUUUAAAAAAUACGGAACUUUGAUUCUGUAAAUCAACUCCAAUCAUUAUUGGAUUUUUAAACCAACAUUUUACAUGAAAAGAAGCUUUACAAAUGUGAAAUUUAGGCGUAAUACACUACUUAUGGGAAGUUUUGUAAAAUUUGCUAAUGAAAAACGUUCAGAAAAUAGUUAAAAAAUUCUGAGAUAGUUAUCUAUCAGGGACUACUGAGUACAUGUUUUAAAGUAAAAUUUUUAUUUCACAGUUCAAAUUUUACAAUCUAGAAAUUUAAAUUUUCCUAUCAAUCCAGGAUUUGCAGAUUUUAUUUCAAAGUGCUUAAUUUUAGAGAUUACUUUAUUUUAGAAUUUUGAAUUAAAAUUCUUAAUUGUUUUUACAUGCUUAUUUUUUUACAUGCUGAAAGUCUUUUUUUUAAUCAUUUUUCACUCUUUCUCUUUUCCCAGCUCAAAAAUGACUUAUUGUUUCUAAUGUUGAAAUUUGAAAGUUCGUUAAAUUUCUAAAGAUAACUGCCUUGCAUUGUUAAUGUUUAGAAUUGAUUUAAGUCACCUCAAAAUUUAUAUUCAUUAAACAUUUAUGAAGUGUAUUUCUCUUCUGCCUCUUUUCUCACAUCAUUCCUUUUGUUUUCUUUCAAAACUGGCAGUAAAUUUUUAAUUUUUUAGGGAAACUACUGAACUUUGUUAAUGUUUUAAUUUGAUUGAGCAGUUAUUUUGUAAAUGGUUAUUUUAUUUAAUAACCAUUUACAAAAUAAUUAAACUGAAGUAAAAUUAUGUUAUUUUUAUAAACUUUGCUAUUAAAAAUUAGCUACCUGAGUCGAAGACAGUUUAUUUUGAAACAUUUUAAGGCAUUGUUUUUGAUUUAAAACUUGCUCUUUAUAUUCAUUGGCACAUCUCACAUUGUUUAGUACAAAAUUGCUUUGAAAAUUGCAUACAAACAUACUUAGUAUGGAGAAUGAGUUGUCUUUUUUUUCGUGCAAGUCUCAUACAGCUUUUUUUCCCCCUUGCAUUGAAAAAGAGGAUUGGUGCCACAACACCUGAUGAAUACAAUUUUCAUUGGAAUUUGUAUCAAAUAAUGUUGGAUUUGAGUAUGUUUACACUAGUUGCAAUUGAUUUGUUGUUUGAAUGUUAUACCAAUUUGACGCUUCUUUGCAAAUUACUUUGUAAGGAUAGACCAAAUAAUUUGUAAACAAGCAUCAUACAUAAGUGUUACUGGGAUAAGAUCCCAGUAAUUUGAUGAUGUAUUGAGUUUUGGCAAGGCUAUAUAUGGCUUGAAUGAGCUGUUUAUUAAAAAAUACAUUCCUUCAAUGUUCAUUUUAAGUAAUUGUGAAACUACACAACUGUAGAUUCUAACAAGAAAUUUUUUCGUGUCUGUACAAAGAAAAACCUAAAUCAAUUCUACUGGAAUUGAUGCUGCAUUUUCAUCCAAUAAACAUUUGACUUCAAGAGGUUCUGUGUAAUUAUUUCCAUCUGUUAAAAACUCGGUUGCCAUUGGUGUUUGUAGUUCACAAUAUACAGAUGUUUGUUUCAAGUUGGUAGUUGUUUCUGCUAUGUCUGAUCCUGUAAAGAAUAAAAUUUGGUAAUAAAUUUUUUGAGCCAAA